rnacentral:rRNA from 1 species
AGAGUUUGAUCAUGGCUCAGGAUAAACGCUGGCGGCGUGCCUAACACAUGCAAGUCGAACGCAUCCCGGCAACGGGAUGAGUGGCGGACGGGUGAGGAACACGUGGGUGAUCUACCUUGAGGUGAGGAAUACCGGCGAGAAAUCGCCGACAAUACCGCAUACGUUUGGAAACAAACAAAGUCGCAAGACGCCACAAGAUG